rnacentral:misc_RNA from 1 species
GAUGAAGAACGCAGCGAAAUGCGAUGAGUAAUGUGAAUUGCAGAAUUCAGUGAAUCAUCGAAUCUUUGAACGCACAUUGCGCCCGCCAGUAUUCUGGCGGGCAUGCCUGUUCGAGCGUCAUUACAACCCUCAGGCCCCCGGGCCUGGCGUUGGGGAUCGGCGGAAGCCCCCUGCGGGCACAACGCCGUCCCCCAAAUACAGUGGCGGUCCCGCCGCAGCUUCCAUUGCGUAGUAGCUAACACCUCGCAACUGGAGAGCGGCGCGGCCACGCCGUAAAACACCCAACUUCUGAAUGUUGACCUCGAAUCAGGUAGGAAUACCCGCUGAACUUAAGCAUAUCAAUAAGCGGAGGA